AGGACAUGACUCUCAUCCAGGAUCUGCGUGAGGAGGUUGACAAGAUAAAGACAACACAGCUCCUCAUGGAAGGAGACAUAAAGAAGCUUAAGGAGUCUCUUGCCUUAAUGAAGAAGCUGGAGGAAGACCUUAAAAAGCUGAGGGAGGAUAUAGCCAAGUGGAAAGAAGAGAGCAGUAAGGAGAUCUCUCAACAAAUUGAGGCUUUGCGGCAGGAGACAAGGCGUGAGCUGCAGAAGAUGGGAGAGCAGCAGGAGAGGAGGAAUGCCAUGCUGGAGCAGAUGCUGAAUGAGACAGCCGACCAGCUGAAUGAGCAGGUGAGGUCCUGGGGGAGCACUCCCACCACUCCUGGCACGGUCCUGUUGCAGCUCCAUGCCACAUCUUCCUGCUCUGUUGUGCUUUGCUGUAAUCUUAUGGGAGAGCCAAACUGCCCAAAUUGGCCUGGACCAGUCAGUGGCAUGGACAGUAAUUAAAGCCUUGACGCAAAUGUCCUCUUGACAUGGUGGGCUCAUGG